rnacentral:rRNA from 1 species
GUGGGGAAUAUUGGACAAUGGGCGAAAGCCUGAUCCAGCCAUGCCGCGUGUGUGAAGAAGGUCUUCGGAUUGUAAAGCACUUUAAGUUGGGAGGAAGGGCAGUAAGCUAAUACCUUGCUGUUUUGACGUUACCGACAGAAUAAGCACCGGCUAACUUCGUGCCAGCAGCCGCGGUAAUACGAAGGGUGCAAGCGUUAAUCGGAAUUACUGGGCGUAAAGCGCGCGUAGGUGGUGUUGUAAGUUGGAGGUGAAAUCCCCGGGCUCAACCUGGGAACUGCCUCCAAAACUGCAUGACUAGAGUACGGUAGAGGGUAGUGGAAUUUCCUGUGUAGCGGUGAAAUGCGUAGAUAUAGGAAGGAACACCAGUGGCGAAGGCGACUACCUGGACUGAUACUGACACUGAGGUGCGAAAGCGUGGGGAGCAAACAGGAUUAGAAACCCCAGUAGUCC